rnacentral:rRNA from 1 species
GGGUUGUGAGGUUAAGCGACUAAGCGUACACGGUGGAUGCCCUGGCAGUCAGAGGCGAUGAAGGACGUGCUAAUCUGCGAUAAGCGUCGGUAAGGUGAUAUGAACCGUUAUAACCGGCGAUUUCCGAAUGGGGAAACCCAGUGUGUUUCGACACACUAUCAUUAACUGAAUCCAUAGGUUAAUGAGGCGAACCGGGGGAACUGAAACAUCUAAGUACCCCGAGGAAAAGAAAUCAACCGAGAUUCCCCCAGUAGCGGCGAGCGAACGGGGAGCAGCCCAGAGCCUGAAUCAGUGUGUGUGUUAGUGGAAGCGUCUGGAAAGGCGCGCGAUACAGGGUGACAGCCCCGUACACAAAAAUGCACAUACUGUGAGCUCGAUGAGUAGGGCGGGACACGUGGUAUCCUGUCUGAAUAUGGGGGGACCAUCCUCCAAGGCUAAAUACUCCUGACUGACCGAUAGUGAACCAGUACCGUGAGGGAAAGGCGAAAAGAACCCCGGCGAGGGGAGUGAAAAAGAACCUGAAACCGUGUACGUACAAGCAGUGGGAGCCUCUUUUAUGGGGUGACUGCGUACCUUUUGUAUAAUGGGUCAGCGACUUAUAUUCUGUAGCAAGGUUAACCGAAUAGGGGAGCCGAAGGGAAACCGAGUCUUAACUGGGCGUUAAGUUGCAGGGUAUAGACCCGAAACCCGGUGAUCUAGCCAUGGGCAGGUUGAAGGUUGGGUAACACUAACUGGAGGACCGAACCGACUAAUGUUGAAAAAUUAGCGGAUGACUUGUGGCUGGGGGUGAAAGGCCAAUCAAACCGGGAGAUAGCUGGUUCUCCCCGAAAGCUAUUUAGGUAGCGCCUCGUGAAUUCAUCUCCGGGGGUAGAGCACUGUUUCGGCAAGGGGGUCAUCCCGACUUACCAACCCGAUGCAAACUGCGAAUACCGGAGAAUGUUAUCACGGGAGACACACGGCGGGUGCUAACGUCCGUCGUGAAGAGGGAAACAACCCAGACCGCCAGCUAAGGUCCCAAAGUCAUGGUUAAGUGGGAAACGAUGUGGGAAGGCCCAGACAGCCAGGAUGUUGGCUUAGAAGCAGCCAUCAUUUAAAGAAAGCGUAAUAGCUCACUGGUCGAGUCGGCCUGCGCGGAAGAUGUAACGGGGCUAAACCAUGCACCGAAGCUGCGGCAGCGACGCUUAUGCGUUGUUGGGUAGGGGAGCGUUCUGUAAGCCUGUGAAGGUGUGCUGUGAGGCAUGCUGGAGGUAUCAGAAGUGCGAAUGCUGACAUAAGUAACGAUAAAGCGGGUGAAAAGCCCGCUCGCCGGAAGACCAAGGGUUCCUGUCCAACGUUAAUCGGGGCAGGGUGAGUCGACCCCUAAGGCGAGGCCGAAAGGCGUAGUCGAUGGGAAACAGGUUAAUAUUCCUGUACUUGGUGUUACUGCGAAGGGGGGACGGAGAAGGCUAUGUUGGCCGGGCGACGGUUGUCCCGGUUUAAGCGUGUAGGCUGGUUUUCCAGGCAAAUCCGGAAAAUCAAGGCUGAGGCGUGAUGACGAGGCACUACGGUGCUGAAGCAACAAAUGCCCUGCUUCCAGGAAAAGCCUCUAAGCAUCAGGUAACAUCAAAUCGUACCCCAAACCGACACAGGUGGUCAGGUAGAGAAUACCAAGGCGCUUGAGAGAACUCGGGUGAAGGAACUAGGCAAAAUGGUGCCGUAACUUCGGGAGAAGGCACGCUGAUAUGUAGGUGAAGUGAUUUACUCAUGGAGCUGAAAUCAGUCGAAGAUACCAGCUGGCUGCAACUGUUUAUUAAAAACACAGCACUGUGCAAACACGAAAGUGGACGUAUACGGUGUGACGCCUGCCCGGUGCCGGAAGGUUAAUUGAUGGGGUCAGCGCAAGCGAAGCUCUUGAUCGAAGCCCCGGUAAACGGCGGCCGUAACUAUAACGGUCCUAAGGUAGCGAAAUUCCUUGUCGGGUAAGUUCCGACCUGCACGAAUGGCGUAAUGAUGGCCAGGCUGUCUCCACCCGAGACUCAGUGAAAUUGAACUCGCUGUGAAGAUGCAGUGUACCCGCGGCAAGACGGAAAGACCCCGUGAACCUUUACUAUAGCUUGACACUGAACAUUGAGCCUUGAUGUGUAGGAUAGGUGGGAGGCUUUGAAGUGUGGACGCCAGUCUGCAUGGAGCCGACCUUGAAAUACCACCCUUUAAUGUUUGAUGUUCUAACGUUGACCCGUAAUCCGGGUUGCGGACAGUGUCUGGUGGGUAGUUUGACUGGGGCGGUCUCCUCCUAAAGAGUAACGGAGGAGCACGAAGGUUGGCUAAUCCUGGUCGGACAUCAGGAGGUUAGUGCAAUGGCAUAAGCCAGCUUGACUGCGAGCGUGACGGCGCGAGCAGGUGCGAAAGCAGGUCAUAGUGAUCCGGUGGUUCUGAAUGGAAGGGCCAUCGCUCAACGGAUAAAAGGUACUCCGGGGAUAACAGGCUGAUACCGCCCAAGAGUUCAUAUCGACGGCGGUGUUUGGCACCUCGAUGUCGGCUCAUCACAUCCUGGGGCUGAAGUAGGUCCCAAGGGUAUGGCUGUUCGCCAUUUAAAGUGGUACGCGAGCUGGGUUUAGAACGUCGUGAGACAGUUCGGUCCCUAUCUGCCGUGGGCGCUGGAGAACUGAGGGGGGCUGCUCCUAGUACGAGAGGACCGGAGUGGACGCAUCACUGGUGUUCGGGUUGUCAUGCCAAUGGCACUGCCCGGUAGCUAAAUGCGGAAGAGAUAAGUGCUGAAAGCAUCUAAGCACGAAACUUGCCCCGAGAUGAGUUCUCCCUGACCCUUUAAGGGUCCUGAAGGAACGUUGAAGACGACGACGUUGAUAGGCCGGGUGUGUAAGCGCAGCGAUGCGUUGAGCUAACCGGUACUAAUGAACCGUGAGGCUUAACCUUACAACGCCGAAGGUGUUU